AACAGAAGCGAGAAGAGAACGGAGAGAAGAAGCGCGGGUGUUCCUCGCCGGAGAGAGCUAUAAUAGCACGAAACAUAAUCCCCGGGUGAAUCUAACGAGUCCUGUAAGAGCGAGCUGGACCAACGAGGGACGAAGAAGAUGGUGUGAGAGACGAGUAAGAAUACGUGACUGCAGGACGAGCAAGAGGAAGGAAGAUAGUCGAAAGAGUGUAAGAUUGAAAGUCAGAGAGGAAGAGGGGAAAGCGGUUCGGCGCCUCUCCGAUCAUUCUUCAGUCUAGCGCAACGACUCAUCGGCUUUUUUUGCCGCUGCGGCUCCGAAGAGACGUUCAAAUUGCUCUAAUGGCGGACCAAAGAGGAAAGUUAUGCCCGACAGAAAAAAGAAUUACGGUAUUUGGUUCCAAAAUGCGUGACACAGUCGUCUCUUCGUUAUAAGAAAAUUAAUUCUCAAAAACAUCUCACAAUCAAGAUUAAAUUAUACAGCUGCCAGCUGGAGCCUAAGUAACUCUACAUCUUAGAGAUAAUAUUCGUAACAGAGUUUCUUAGAAACGAUGACUGGUGCUUUACAAGCAACAAGAACUUGACACAGCUUAUGCAACAUCUCGUUUAAUGUCGAGAGUCACAAUUCGAUUAUUCUCUAAACUUAAACAAGGCCGAUCUAUGUAAAUGGAAAAUUUCAGAUACCAGACUCGAUCACGAAGAAAUGUUAUUAGAUUUUAAUGAUCGCGUAAGUGCAGCAUACUUUAAAAGACGGAAACGUACGUUGCACGGUUCCCAGACGCGGCCAAUUAAUUCGGCAAACCGGGCAAUUAGUGAAAUUAUUAAUAAAAAUCGUAAUGAAGCUAAAUCAACGGUGAUAGAAGCCUUCCUGUGCGGUCGUCGGUGGGCCAUUGUACGACCAUGAUGCACCGUUUAAUAAUCGGCAACGUCUUUCGAAUUGUAUGUCAAUUGGCGACAAUAAUAAAAUUCGACGAUGGCGUCGAGACGUCGUUUGCCACGGUGUGUGCGUUCGUCUGCGCGAAAGUCGAUUAGUUUGUCUCUUAAUUAAAGACCUCGCGCGACUAUCAGCUCGUCGUACCGCGUAAAGUGGAUUUGGACAGUCGAGGAAAUUUUGAAUAACCACCGAAACAUAUCGUGAUUCCUUUCGUAGACUUAUUAUGCCUAGCAUGACAAACAAUAAUUAGAUUGCAAUGAUAAAAAAUUGUGCAAGGCGCAGAGGUACGCGUGAAUUCACAUAAUACGCAAACAUGCAUAAAAUAUGCAAAAUAGGUACAGCGCUCGUUAUAACAUUUUGUAGAUGAAACAAAUCUCUAUCUAGACUUCGCUUCUUCGGUCGUGUUCAUAAGGAUAUAAAUUUGCAUAAACAUCCACACUCUUAUGGUAACAGAUUUAUUACGUACGAAGUUCCAUCGCGGCAUCGUACUCUUCCUGUUCUAAAUCUGACGAAACCCUAUGCAGCUGGUUGAAACGAGAACGAUCUUCUCCUACAUAGCGAGAAGAUCCGUGAAAAAUGGCAAGAUCGGCAAAGCCCAGGAGCGAGGUGGAAAAGGCAGGAAAAGUCCUGUCGGUGGAUCCGUUCUAGGGACGACGAUAAUUCCGGUCGACGACGUCGGGACGAGAGUAAUUGGCGGAAGGAAGGACCGGAUGCAGCGCAGAGGGAAGAACGGAUGGAACGAACGAGGACACGGAAUGUAAAAUGGCAAGAGUAUUGGCUGCACGGAACGAACGAGACCACGCACAACUAAGAUUAUAUUCUCAUUAACUCGAUCUCGGCGGGGAAAUCAUCGGGACGAAUGGAAAUUGCUCGCGGGAUUGAAUAUUCGACGGUCUUCUUUCGGAUCGAGCCCGAACAAGCAGAAGGAUCUUGGAUAUUCCGCUCGGAUGUCGAUCCUCUCAAUUUCCUCGAAUA